AUUGAACGCUAGCGGGAUGCUUUACACAUGCAAGUCGAACGAGUGGCGGACGGGUGAGUAAUAUAUCGGAACGUGCCCAGUAGCGGGGGAUAACUACUCGAAAGAGUAGCUAAUACCGCAUACUAUCGGAGCGGCCGAAAUCGGAUUAGCUAGUAGGUGGGGUAACGGCUCACCAAGGCAACGAUCCCUAGCUGGUUUGAGAGGACGACAAGCCACACUGGGACUGAGACACGGCCCAGACUCCUACGGGAGGCAGCAGUGGGGAAUUUUGGAAAAUGGGGGAAACCCUGAUCCAGCCAUCCCGCGUGUAUGAGAAGGCCGUCGGGUUGUAAAGUACUUUUGGCAGAGAAGCGGUAUCUGCAGAAUAAGCACCGGCUAACUACGUGCCAGCCGCCGCGGUAAUUC
rnacentral:rRNA from 1 species